UUCGGCGAACUGGAGAAAACAUGUGGAAGAAAGUUUGGUGCUAAUGCUUCUAUGUCUAAAUGGAAGACAAAAGGGAAGGGAGUAAUUUAACGAAACAUUGUUGGUGGCAGGAGCGGUAAGCAGUCGUGGCGGGAGUGGGGCUCUCAACGGCGGCGUUUUGAGGACAGUUGCCAUUGAAGCGCGGAGUAAGAGCGGUGGAAUUGAAAGAG
rnacentral:misc_RNA from 1 species